GACGAACGCUGGCGGCGUGCUUAACACAUGCAAGUCGAACGGAAAGGCCCUGCUUUUGUGGGGUGCUCGAGUGGCGAACGGGUGAGUAACACGUGAGUAACCAGCCCCUGACUUUGGGAUAACUUCAGGAAACUGGGGCUAAUACCGGCUAGGAGCUCCUGCUGCAUGGUGGGGGUUGGAUAGUUUCGGCGGUUGGGGAUGGACUCGCGGCUUAUCAGCUUGUUGGUUGGGUAGUGGCUUACCAAGGCUUUGACAGGUAGCCGGCCUGAGCGGGUGACCGGCCACAUUGGGACUGGAAUACGGCACAGACUCCUACGGGAGGCAGCAGUGGGGAAUAUUGCACAAUGGGCUGAAGCCUGAUGCAGCAACGCCGCGUGCGGGAUGACGGCCUUCGGGUUGUAAUCCGCUUUCGCCUGUGACGAAGUGUGAGUGACGGUAAUGGGUAAAGAAGCACCGGCUAACUACGUG
rnacentral:rRNA from 1 species